UGGGGAAUAUUGCACAAUGGGGGAAACCCUGAUGCAGCGACGCCGCGUGGAGGAAGAAGGUCUUCGGAUUGUAAACUCCUGUUGCUGAGGAAGAUAAUGACGGUACUCAACAAGGAAGUGACGGCUAACUACGUGCCAGCAGCCGCGGUAAAACGUAGGUCACAAGUGUUGUCCGGAAUUACUGGGUGUAAAGGGAGCGCAGGCGGGCGAUCAAGUUGGAAGUGAAAUCCAUGGGCUCAACCCAUGAACUGCUUUCAAAACUGGUCGUCUUGAGUAGUGCAGAGGUAGGCGGAAUUCCCGGUGUAGCGGUGGAAUGCGUAGAUAUCGGGAGGAACACCAGUGGCGAAGGCGGCCUACUGGGCACCAACUGACGCUGAGGCUCGAAAGUGUGGGUAGCAAACAGGAUUAGAUACCCUGGUAGUCCACACCGUAAACGAUGAUUACUAGGUGUUGGGAGAUUGACCCUCUCAGUGCCGCAGUUAACACAAUAAGUAAUCCACCUGGGGAGUACGACCGCAAGGUUGAAACUCAAAGGAAUUGACGGGGGCCCGCACAAGCAGUGGAGUAUGUGGUUUAAUUCGACGCAACGCGAAGAACCUUACCAAGUCUUGACAUCCCUUGACGAUGCUGGAAACAGUAUUUCUCUUCGGAGCAAGGAGACAGGUGGUGCAUGGUUGUCGUCAGCUCGUGUCGUGAGAUGUUGGGUUAAGUCCCGCAACGAGCGCAACCCUUAUGGUCAGUUACUACGCAAGAGGACUCUGGCCAGACUGCCGUUGACAAAACGGAGGAAGGUGGGGAUGACGUCAAAUCAUCAUGCCCUUUAUGACUUGGGCUACACACGUACUACAAUGGCGUUAAACAAAGAGAAGCAAGACCGCGAGGUGGAGCAAAACUCAGAAACAACGUCCCAGUUCGGACUGCAGGCUGCAACUCGCCUGCACGAAGUCGGAAUUGCUAGUAAUCGUGGAUCAGCAUGCCACGGUGAAUACGUUCCC
rnacentral:rRNA from 2 species